CGUACUACAAUGCUACGGACAAAGGGCAGCAAACUCGCGAGAGCUAGCAAAUCCCAUAAACCGUGGCUCAGUUCAGAUCGUAGGCUGCAACUCGCCUACGUGAAGGAGGAAUCGCUAGUAAUCGCAGGUCAGCAUACUGCGGUGAAUACGUUCCCGGGCCUUGUACACACCGCCCGUCACACCAUGGAAGUUGGCCAUGCCCGAAGUCGUUACUUCAACCCGCAAGGGAGGAGGAUGCCGAAGGUGGGGCUGAUGACUGGGGUGAAGUCGUAACAAGGUAGCCGUACCGGAAGGUGCGGCUGGAUCACCUCCUAACAGGGAUAUUAAACAUUGAAUGAUGAUCAUCAAUUUUGUAUGGUCCAUUUAACUGUUCAUCUCUAGGUCGAUCGGUACCUCAAUGACCCUUCAAUUUUAAGUAAUCUAUUUAUUUAGUUCACUUAAUUAUUAAUGUGGUUAUCUCGGUCCUUAAGCUUGUCUAGGUCACACCCCAUAGCUGCUAAGCUAUGGAGAUGGGCCCGAAAGGGUUCCUGGGCCAUUAGCUCAGGUGGUUAGAGCGCACCCCUGAUAAGGGUGAGGUCCCUGGUUCAAGUCCAGGAUGGCCCAUUCAACAUCCCCAGGGAUGAUUGGGGGUUUAGCUCAGUUGGUAGAGCGCCUGCUUUGCAAGCAGGAUGUCAGCGGUUCGAGUCCGCUAACCUCCAUCGAACAUUUGUGAUCUAGAAGGUAAUGGUGAAACCAGCCUCGUCUGAUUCUUCAAUCAUUAAGUCCAUGUUUUGGCCUUAUUUGAGAAGUUCAAACGAUGCUGGGCUCAGCAAUGGGGUUCAGCAAAGAACCUUGACAACUGCAUAGGUGAAUCUGGAAAUAAGCAUCUAACAGAUGACCCAGAAGAACACAUUGUAAACGUAAGUUUGCUUUUAUUUUCUAAUGGAUCAAACAAUUCUGUAGAAAGCCGAGAUCUAGCUUUAUUGGGGAAAUUCUUCUUUCACGAGGGGAGUGAAACUAAUUUAGUUAGAUAAUAAAAUGGUCAAGUUACAAAGGGCUCACGGUGGAUACCUUGGCACACAGAGGCGAUGAAGGACGUGGUUACCUGCGAUAAGUCUCGGGGAGCUGGAAACACGCUUUGAUCCGGGAAUUUCCGAAUGGGGCAACCC
rnacentral:sRNA from 1 species